UCUUUCCAACACCUGUCCCGUGGACAAUCUCCUUAUGAUCAUGUAUUACGUCUUACAACAAAACCACAUAAGGAAGUGGUUUGAAGAAAACAGGGCCAAGUUGGAAGUUUGCCAAGUUCUCUUGGAUGUUAGCAGCCUAUUUCAGUCAGGCAACUGGAGAGAAGGCAGGGCAUUAUGGCUGAGGAAAUAUCUUCCUCUGCCCACAACCGACACUUGGAACGUCUGGCGAAGUGAGGUGGAGAAAUUUGUUUGCCACUUUGGAGAGGUGCAAGAAACGGAGGUUUCAUCAUCUUGCUCCAAACGUACUGGCAGAGAUAAAGAUAAUUCUGGGUCAUGUUGCCUUCAUGAAAGCCUGAAGCAGUGGGAAGACACGUUCCCUUCAAUGUGUUCUAUGGAACACCAUACGGACAAUGCAAAUGAGUGAGGACAAGCACACAACGAAAAUUUGUUCAGAAGUGUCCACCGGUCCUUAUUAUGAGCGUCUCUUACUUGAGUCAGUCAAGAGGACUUGUACCAAGUGCGUUACCUGAUUCAGUGGUUGUACAAACAAACAGAUAUGACCUGUUUGCGUACACAGUAGGCACUGGAGAUCACUUCAAGGCUUACCUUCAGAUUAACAACAGCUGGCACAAAUACGACGGCCUCGACAGUCCUGAGGUGUCAGAAGUUCGUAGUCGAGGGGAAGAUGGCCAACUUGAGCAUGCUGUCUACAUUUUAAAAUGAUCAUCCGGCCUUGUUGUGUGUUAACAGACAAUGUGCUACAAUGUGUCUAUGCUUUCUAUGCUGAAUUACACAACUGGUCAGGUGAUGGUGACAUGAGAGCUGAAGGAGGAUAUUUCAUUGCCAUCCGAACUGACAAUGUCUAAUGCUGGUUCACUGAAUGUGUUAGUGUUUGCUGGAAACUGUGAUCGUAGUCUCAAAACUGGAAUUGAUGCAAUGAUUUUAUUUAUCAAAUAGGUGAACAAUGUUUCCCUUUGCUGAUUUGCGCGUAUCAAGACAACCACUUCCACGGUGUACCAAAGUUAGACUAUAGUGCAGAAUAUAUAAGUGUACAUUGUCAGUGAAGAAGUAUUGCCAUUUAGUGUUGUAGUUGUCCAAUCGAUAUAUUUUGUAUUGUGACAUGUGUAACUGUCUGUUUAUUGCAAAUGUACACAAAAAAUCCAAACUGACGAAAGGCCUUUCUCAUGGAAAAUACAGUUUGGGUAACUCACUACUUUUGACUGAAAAGAAUUAUCAUUG